rnacentral:lncRNA from 1 species
GUAGGUCAGGAAAUCUAGUGUAAAUUUGAGAAGCUUAUGGUGUUCCGUAGCAGUUUUCAGUCGAUGUGUUGUUAAGAAGUGUUAACACACGAUAUUUUUCGUAAAUAAAAGAAGUUGAAUAAACGCUCUGAAAUUAAAAGUUAAAAAAUGUAAAAUCCAAUGUAAGCCUUUCGAAGUAUAGUAUAAUGAAAAGAUUGUUAUUUCUGUGCGUACCUGAUAACUUUGCCAUGGAAACAAAAAAUAAUACCAUCGUGUGUUUUGUUUAGACCGAGGUUGUUGCUUUAUUAUAUAUUGAUUUUAUAUACAACAUGAUCAUUUAUUAAAAGUUGUCCAAUAC